rnacentral:tRNA from 2 species
AGUGUGUGUAAGAGUUUGAACUCAUAAGUGAUUUGAAAUCAUUUAGCUCGUGUUGAUAGGCGAUACAUGCUU